rnacentral:misc_RNA from 1 species
GGAAGUAAAACUCGUAACAAGGUUUCCGUAGGUGAACCUGCGGAAGGAUCAUUACAGAGUUCAUGCCCUCACGGGUAGAUCUCCCACCCUUGAAUAUUUAUACCUUAGUUGCUUUGGCAGGCCGUGGAAACACCAUGGGCUCCGGCUUAUGCGUGCCUGCCAGAGGAAACAAACUCUGUUUUUAGUGAUGUCUGAGUACUAUAUAAUAGUUAAAACUUUCAACAACGGAUCUCUUGGUUCUG